GUGGACCCUGGGCCCCAGCAUCAGUACCACCUUAUGUGCCUGGGAAACAAAGUCGCACCAUGAACCACAGUCAACUAAGUCUUCAUGGCUCUCCAAGGACUGUGCAAUCUGAAGAACAGAUGGCAGUCUUCUGUCAGUGCUUGAAGACUUUUUCCAAGAAACAUUAAGCCUCUAUUGGGCCUCGCUUGUUAAUGCAAAAGUCCUUCUCAGGACAGAAGGUAGGAAAGUCUUUGAAGUCAUCAGGUAAGUCUUGAAGGCAUAAUUUCCCUUUUUCUCACUUUCACUCACUUAAUAUCCUCAAUUCUACUUUUCUCAUCCAUAGCUAAU
rnacentral:lncRNA from 1 species